UGCUCUCUGACCAGCCAGAAUAUCUCCUAUGUCUGUGAAGACAUCAGUACAGUCAGAGGAUACAAUUUAAGUGUUCCUGAAAGUGUGUCAUCUGAAUGCCUGAAAGAUUGUGAGCAUGGCUGGUACAAUAAGGAACCUGACCACAACAACCUGUUUGGAUGAAUGGACUGUCACUGCUCUGGAAAAGCCAAUUUCAAGGUUUCCUAUAGAGCUGUUCAAGGGCCUAAGCAUGUAAGUGGGGAGGCAGGCUCAUACGAUGGAAAAUUACAUUUUCUGUGACUCCUAUGCAUCCCUGUGUUCAUUGGGUUAGGAUGGUACUGCAAGACAAAAGGCCGUGAAGUGGCAUCAGUGGUACAGCUCUGCACUGGGUGGAAUCCUAUCUCUCAGGUUGAUCCAUCAAGGUCUCAUGGUGUCUGAAUCCCAGCAACUCACAACUUGGGCUCUUCACAUUAAAGUCAAGGCCUUGACACUUCCCAUUAUAUAUCACAAUCAUUGAUCUGUAAGCUUUAAUCAUUUACAGCAUGCGGUCAUUUGGACUGUUAUUAUGCCCUGUGUUAUUUAUUUUAAUGAAACAAUCAUUUGAUCAUAAAUGUUUUGUGAAUGAUUGAUGGAUAGAUUAAACACGUUGAUUGAGGGAUGGAUGGUCAUUUUAAAUGUAAAUUAAAAAAUAAGCAUACUUAUUCACACUUUAUGGGGCGGAGGCCUUUCAUUUUAAAACCAAAUCUACAUUCAUGCAUUUAACUAACCACUAACUCGUACACCUCUAUUCUAUGCACUUUGUUCCUCUUUCACUCUUUCACUUUUUUAUAUAUUGCAUUGCUUGUUUUUCCCUUUUUUGUAAGUUACUUUGUAUAAAUGAGUAAAUGUAAAGAUGCACAAAAUUAUUUCUGCUAAUGUAGCUCAUCCACCUGAAAGUUUGAUGUUUUGUGUAUGUUGAGAUGCUGUUAACUCACCACAGUUGUAAAAGUGAUUAUAUAAGUUACUAAAUCCUUUCUUAAACCAGUAAGGCCCCUCCAGUGUCACCCAUAUGAGGAUGGGCUCCCCUUUGAGUCUGGUUCCUCUCAAGGUUUCUAUCUUCCAUUCAAGGGAGUUUUUAAGGGAUAAAUACAAACACAUUUAAAUAUAUCUAAU